rnacentral:misc_RNA from 1 species
GAUGAACGUAGCGAAAUGCGAUAAGUAAUGUGAAUUGCAGAAUUCAGUGAAUCAUCGAAUCUUUGAACGCACAUUGCGCCCGCCAGUAUUCUGGCGGGCAUGCCUGUUCGAGCGUCAUUUCAACCAUCAAGCCCCCGGCUUGUGUUGGGGACCUGCGGCUGCCGCAGGCCCUGAAAACCAGUGGCGGGCUCGCUAGUCACUCCGAGCGUAGUAAUACAUCUCGCUCAGGGCGUGCUGCGGGUUCCGGCCGUUAAAAAGCCUUAUUUACCCAAGGUUGACCUCGGAUCAGGUAGGAAGACCAGCUGAACUUAAGCAUAUCAAUAAGCGGAGGA